GACGAACGCUGGCGGCGUGCUUAACACAUGCCAGUCGAACGGAAAGGCCCUGCUUUUGUGGGGUGCUCGAGUGGCGAACGGGUGAGUAACACGUGAGUAACCUGCCCUUGACUUUGGGAUAACUUCAGGAAACUGGGGCUAAUACCGGAUAGGAGCUCCUGCUGCAUGGUGGGGGUUGGAAAGUUUCGGCGGUUGGGGAUGGACUCGCGGCUUAUCAGCUUGUUGGUGGGGUAGUGGCUUACCAAGGCUGUGACGGGUAGCCGGCCUGAGAGGGUGAACGGCCACAUUGGGACUGAGAUACGGACCAGACUCCUACGGGAGGCAGCAGUGGGGAAUAUUGCACAAUGGGCGGAAGCCUGAUGCGGCAACGCCGCGUGCGGGAUGACGGCCUUCGGGUUGUAAACCGCUUUCGCCUGUGACGAAGCGUGAGUGACGGUAAUGGGUAAAGAAGCACCGGCUAACUACGUG
rnacentral:rRNA from 1 species